UGCAAGUCGAGGGGCAGCAGGGAGUAGCAAUAUUCGCUGGCGACCGGCGCACGGGUGCGUAACACGUAUACAAUCUGCCUUUAACAGGGGGAUAGCCCGGAGAAAUCCGGAUUAAUACCCCAUAACACAAGAAGUAGCAUUACUUUUUGUUAAAAGCUCCGGCGGUUAGAGAUGAGUAUGCGUCUGAUUAGCUAGUUGGUGAGGUAACGGCUCACCAAGGCGACGAUCAGUAGGGGAUCUGAGAGGACUACCCCCCACACGGAUACUGAGACACGGAUCCGACUCCUACGGGAGGCAGCAGUAAGGAAUAUUGGACAAUGCCCGCAAGGGUGAUCCAGCCAUGCCGCGUGCAGGAAGACGGCCCUAUGGGUUGUAAACUGCUUUUAUACCGGAGAAAACCUCUUCUCGUGAGAAGAGCUGAUAGUAUGGUAAGAAUAAGCAUCGGCUAACUUCGUGCCAGCAGCCGCGGUAAGACGAAGGAUGCAAGCGUUAUCCGGAUUCAUUGGGUUUAAAGGGAGCGUAGGUGGUCUUAUAAGUCAGUGGUGAAAUCUCUGGGCUUAACCCAGAAAUUGCCAUUGAUACUGUAGGACUUGAGUAUAGUUGCCGUUGGCGGAAUAUGACAUGUAGUGGUGAAAUACAUAGAGAUGUCAUAGAACACCGAUUGCGAAGGCAGCUAUCGAAACUAUAACUGACACUGAGGCUCGAAAGUGUGGGGAUCAAACAGGAUUAGAUACCCUGGUAGUCCACACUGUAAACGAUGAUUACUCGCUGCUAGAGGGUAACUUUUAGUGGCUUAGCGAAAGCGAUAAGUAAUCCACCUGGGGAGUACGCCGGCUACGGUGAAACUCAAAGGAAUUGACGGGGGCCCGCACAAGCGGAGGAGCAUGUGGUUUAAUUCGAUGAUACGCGAG
rnacentral:rRNA from 1 species